AUUGAACGCUGGCGGCAGGCCUAACACAUGCAAGUCGAGCGAGCGGCGGACGGGUGAGUAAUGUCUGGGAAACUGCCUGAUGGAGGGGGAUAACUACUGGAAACGGUAGCUAAUACCGCAUACCAUCAGAUGUGCCCAGAUGGGAGUAGCUAGUAGGUGGGGUAAUGGCUCACCUAGGCGACGAUCCCUAGCUGGUCCGAGAGGAUGACCGGCCACACUGAAACUGAGACACGGUCCAGACGCCUACGUGAGGCAGCGGUGGGGAAUAUUGCACAAUGGGCGCAAGCCUGAUGCAGCCAUGCCGCGUGUGUGAAGAGGGCCUUCGGGUUGUAAGGCACUUUCAGCGGGUAGGCGUUACCCGCAGAAGAAGCACCGGCUAACUACGUGCCAGCAGCCGCGGUAAUUC
rnacentral:rRNA from 1 species